GUCGUCGUGGCCGAGUGGUUAAGGCGACAGACUUGAAAUCUGUUGGGCUCUGCCCGCACAGGUUCGAAUCCUGUCGGCGACC
rfam:Ciona savignyi cont_35801, whole genome shotgun sequence.